GACGAACGCUGGCGGCGUGCUUAACACAUGCAAGUCGAACGAAGUGGCGAACGGGUGAGUAACGCGUAAUCAACCUGCCCUUCAGAGGGGGACAACAGUUGGAAACGACUGCUAAUCCCGCAUACUGAAGGAGGGGAUUGCGUCUGAUUAGCUAGUUUGAGGGGUAAUGGCCCACCAAGGCGAUGAUCGGUAGCCGGGCUGGGGGGCUGAACGGCCAACUUGGGACUGAGACAAGGCCCAGACUCCUACGGGAGGCAGCAGUGGGGGAACUUCCGGAAAGGACGUAAGGCUGACUGAGCAAAGCCGCGUGAGUGGUGACGGCCUUCGGGUUGUAAAGCUCUGUUAAGCGGGACGCGGUACCGGAAUAGAAAGCCACGGCUAACUACGUGCCAGCCGCCGCGGUAAUAC
rnacentral:rRNA from 1 species